UGGGGAAUAUUGCACAAUGGGCGCAAGCCUGAUGCAGCCAUGCCGCGUGUAUGAAGAAGGCCUUCGGGUUGUAAAGUACUUUCAGUCGGGAGGAGGGUGUCAAGGUUAAUAACCUUGGCAAUUGACGUUACCGACAGAAGAAGCACCGGCUAACUCCGUGCCAGCAGCCGCGGUAAUACGGAGGGUGCAAGCGUUAAUCGGAAUUACUGGGCGUAAAGCGCACGCAGGCGGUUGAUUGAGUCAGAUGUGAAAUCCCCGGGCUUAACCCGGGAAUUGCAUCUGAUACUGGUCAGCUAGAGUCUUGUAGAGGGGGGUAGAAUUCCAUGUGUAGCGGUGAAAUGCGUAGAGAUGUGGAGGAAUACCGGUGGCGAAGGCGGCCCCCUGGACAAAGACUGACGCUCAGGUGCGAAAGCGUGGGGAGCAAACAGG
rnacentral:rRNA from 1 species